rnacentral:rRNA from 1 species
AACUGCGAAUGGCUCAUUAAAUCAGUUAUCGUUUAUUUGAUAGUGCCUUCUUACUCGGAUAACCGUGGUAAUUCUAGAGCUAAUACGUGCUACAAGUCCCAACUUCGGAAGGGACGUGUUUAUUAGAUUCAAAGCCAAUGCCUCUCGGGGCUCGCUGGUGAUUCAUAAUAACCGCUCGAAUCGCACAGCCUUGCGCUGGCGAUGGUUCAUUCAAAUUUCUGCCCUAUCAACUUUCGAUGGCUGGGUAGUGGCCAGCCAUGGUGACAACGGGUAACGGAGGGUUAGGGCUCGACCCCGGAGAAGAAGCCAGAGUAACGGCUUCUACAUCCAAGGAAGGCAGCAGGCGCGCAAAUUACCCAAUCCCGACACGGGGAGGUAGUGACAAUACAUACUGAUACAGGGCUCUUUUGGGUCUUGUAAUUGGAAUGAGUACAAUUUAAAUCCCUUAACGAGGAACAAUUGGAGGGCAAGUCUGGUGCCAGCAGCCGCGGUAAUUCCAGCUCCAAUAGCGUAUAUUAAAGUUGUUGCGGUUAAAAAGCUCGUAGUUGAACCUCGGGCCUGGCCGGCCGGUCCGCCUCACCGCGUGCACUGGCUCGGCUGGGCCUUUCCCGCUGGGGAGCCGCAUGCCCUUUAUUGGGUGUGACGGGGAACCAGGACGUUUACUUUGAAUAAAUCAGAUCGCUCCAAGAAGGCCUUUGCCCGGAUGCAUUAGCAUGGAAUAAUGGAAUAGGACGUGUGGUUCUAUUUCGUUGGUUUCUAGGACCGCCGUAAUGAUUAAGAGGGACAGUCGGGGGCAUCAGUAUUCAGUUGUCAGAGGUGAAAUUCUUGGAUCUACUGAAGACUAACUACUGCGAAAGCAUUUGCCAAGGAUGUUUUCAUUAAUCAGGAACGAAAGUUGGGGGAUCGAAGACGAUCAGAUACCGUCGUAGUCUCAACCAUAAACCAUGCCGACUAGGGAUCGGACGAUGCUAUCCUAUGGCUCGUUCGGCACCUUACGCGAAAGCAAAGUUUUUGG